rnacentral:rRNA from 1 species
UAGGGAAUAUUGGUAAUCUGGGAAACCGGGAACCAGCAACGCCGCGUGCGCGAUGAAGGCCUUUGGGUUGUAAAGCGCUUUUUAAAGGGAUGAGGAAGGACAGUACCUUUAGAAUAAGCCUCGGCUAACUACGUGCCAGCAGCCGCGGUCAAACGUAGGAGGCGAGCGAUAUCCGGCUUUACUGGGCGUAAAGCGUGUGCAGGCGGUUUGAUAAGUUGGAUGUGAAAGCACCUGGCUUAACCGGGAGAGGUCGUUCAAAACUAUCAUACUAGAGAGUGGUAGAGGGAGAUGGAAUUCCGCGUGUAGUGGUGAAAUGCGUAGAUAUGCGGAGGAACACCAGUGUCGAAAGCGGUCUCCUGGCCCAUUUCUUACGCUCAGACACGAAAGCUAAGGUAGCAAA